AGCCCACAACCCAUAUUGUGUUCUAUCUAGACUAGCCUUUGCCCACUUCUACCAUGGAAGUGAAGUGACUUAUGAGUCAAGAGGUACAGACGGCCUUGGACGCACUGAAUAAAUACAAAUAAUGGUGAUUCAUCACAAAUCAAAGUGGCUCAUCAGUAACUGAAACUUACUUCUGAAUAAAAGGGAACAAUUUACAAACAUCAAAAAGCAAAAAAUAAAAGAGCAAUACCUUGCAGAAGAUGUCGUUGCUCCCUGUUGCUAUAAGCUAAGUAAAUUGUAGCCAUUUCCCAAAUGUACCUGGAGAAGAAAUGAUUUUGGAAGAAAUCUGCUCAGCUGCUCCAUGUUGCAGCACCUUAGAGAGGCUAAGCCCAUGAGACCCCUUGGUCAAUCCUUGGGAAAAGUGGAGGGAGGAAGAAAUAGACGAGCACACAAGUGAAAAGGCCUAGUGACGGACCCUGGAUGACUGGAGCCAUGCCAGGCAUUUGCGACAACCACUUUGAAAAAACAGUUCCAGAAUCAUCCUGAGCCCUGGCUGGC
rnacentral:lncRNA from 1 species